UGUCGAUGAAGAGCGCAGCCAACUGUGUGAAUUAAUGUGAACUGCAUACUGCUUUGAACAUCGACAACUUGAACGCAUAUUGCGGUCACAGGCUUGCCUGUGGCCACGCCUGUCCGAGGGUCG
rnacentral:rRNA from 1 species